rnacentral:rRNA from 1 species
ACCUACGGCCAAGUCCACCGGAAUGCGCCCGAUCUUAUGAGAACUUUAAAGUUGAACGGGGGUGAGCCUGGUUAGUGCUUGGAUGGGCGACCACCUUGCAUUAUAACAGGCGUUGUAGGAA